GUGGUAGGGGAGCGUUCUGUAAGCCGAUGAAGGUGUAUUGAGAAGUAUGCUGGAGGUAUCAGAAGUGCGAAUGCUGACGUGAGUAACGACAAAACGGGUGAAAAACCCGUUCGCCGAAAGACCAAGGGUUCCAGUCCAACGUUAAUCGGGGCUGGGUGAGUCGACCCCUAAGGCGAGGCCGAAAGGCGUAGUCGAUGGGAAAAUGGUUAAUAUUCCAUUACUUCUGUGUAAUGCGAUGAGAGGACGGAGAAGGCUAAAUCAGCCUGGCGUUGGUUGUCCAGGUGAAAGGAUGUAGGCAUGUAUCUUAGGCAAAUCCGGGGUACUCUAUGCUGAGAUCUGAUAGCAAGCUGUACUUGUACAGCGAAGUGGUUGAUGCCAUGCUUCCAGGAAAAGUCUCUAAGCUUCAGUUACACAGGAAUCGUACCCGAAACCGACACAGGUGGUCAGGUCGAGUAGACCAAGGCGCUUGAGAGAACUCUGCUGAAGGAACUAGGCAAAAUGGUACCGUAACUUCGGGAGAAGGUACGCUGUUGUUGGUGAUGGAACUCGCUUCCUGAGCUGACGACAGCCGCAGAAACCAGGCCGCUGCAACUGUUUAUUAAAAACAUAGCACUCUGCAAACACGAAAGUGGACGUAUAGGGUGUGAUGCCUGCCCGGUGCUGGAAGGUUAAUUGAUGGGGUUAGCGUAAGCGAAGCUCUUGAUCGAAGCCCCAGUAAACGGCGGCCGUAACUAUAACGGUCCUAAGGUAGCGAAAUUCCUUGUCGGGUAAGUUCCGACCUGCACGAAUGGCAUAAUGAUGGCGGCGCUGUCUCCAGCAGAGGCUCAGUGAAAUCGAAAUCGCUGUGAAGAUGCAGUGUACCCGCGGCUAGACGGAAAGACCCCGUGAACCUUUACUGCAGCUUGACACUGAACUUUGACCUUACUUGUGUAGGAUAGGUGGGAGGCUUUGAAGCUGGAACGCUAGUUCCAGUGGAGCCGUCCUUGAAAUACCACCCUGGUAAUGUUGAGGUUCUAACUCUGUCCCGUGAUCCGGGACGAGGACCGUGUCUGGUGGGUAGUUUGACUGGGGCGGUCUCCUCCUAAAGAGUAACGGAGGAGUACGAAGGUGCGCUCAGCGUGGUCGGAAAUCACGCGUAGAGUAUAAAGGCAAAAGCGCGCUUAACUGCGAGACCCACAAGUCGAGCAGGUACGAAAGUAGGUCUUAGUGAUCCGGUGGUUCUGUAUGGAAGGGCCAUCGCUCAACGGAUAAAAGGUACUCUGGGGAUAACAGGCUGAUACCGCCCAAGAGUUCAUAUCGACGGCGGUGUUUGGCACCUCGAUGUCGGCUCAUCUCAUCCUGGGGCUGAAGCAGGUCCCAAGGGUAUGGCUGUUCGCCAUUUAAAGAGGUACGCGAGCUGGGUUUAGAACGUCGUGAGACAGUUCGGUCCCUAUCUACCGUGGGCGCUGGAAAUUUGAGAGGAUCUGCUCCUAGUACGAGAGGACCAGAGUGGACGAACCUCUGGUGUACCGGUUGUGACGCCAGUCGCAUCGCCGGGUAGCUAUGUUCGGAAGGGAUAACCGCUGAAAGCAUCUAAGCGGGAAGCCUACCUCAAGAUAAGAUUUCCCUAGGACUUUAUGUCCUCUAAAGAGCCGUUCGAGACUAGGACGUUGAUAGGUUGGAUGUGGAAGCAUAGUGAUAUGUGAAGCUGACCAAUACUAAUUGCUCGUGAGGCUUGACUAU
rnacentral:rRNA from 7 species